UUCGCAUAAAAAUAUAAUUGUCAUGGG
rnacentral:piRNA from 1 species